AACGAACGCUGGCGGCGUGGAUUAGGCAUGCAAGUCGAACGCGAAAGAGGGGGUAACUCCUCGAGUAGAGUGGCGAACGGGUGAGUAACACGUGAGAAACCUGCCUUCAGCAGGGGGAUAACACUCCCAACGGGGUGCUAAUACCGCAUGAGACCACGGAUUCGCAUGGAUCUGGGGUCAAAGGUGGCCUCUGCUUGCAAGCUACCGGCUGAAGAUGGUCUCGCGUCCCAUUAGCUAGUUGGUGGGGUAAUGGCCCACCAAGGCGACGAUGGGGUAGCUGGUCUGAGAGGAUGGUCAGCCACACUGGGACUGAGAUACGGCCCAGACUCC
rnacentral:rRNA from 1 species